CUGUUACCGUGACAAUGUGCCGUCUAGUGACUUAAGUUGUAAGAAUAUGCAGUCUAGUCUGUGUAAAUAAGCUAUCAUGAGACGUGUCUUAAGAAAAAUUUGAUUAGGGUUAUUAUUCAUAUCAGUAUUUGUUUUUUAACUUGCGGUUGAGAUAGAUUUUUACAUUAUAGAUUUAUUUAAAAAUUAUAACUUGCCGAAUGUCAGGAAAUAAAGACAAACCAACAAAACAACGGUUUUUUUCACACCAAAGAAAUUGAAAAUUAUUUUUUAUUAUAAAAAGAGCAUCUUCUUUUCAACAUACCUUUGUAUUUAUAGGUACCUUAUGCUUCUCUUACUAAAGAAGAACGAGACUUUUUAGAGCACGCCGAAUUAGAUGUUGAUGAAAAUGAGUCAGAGGAAGAACUCCCAGAAGUAUCUGUUGAUGUGCUACACUCAUCCUUAACUGAGGCUUCAGGUGGAAACCAAUUCGCCAGUACAAAUCAUAAUGAAGAGGAACUCACUUUACAUGACCAUGGCGUAAAUGAAGAACAUGGCAAUUUACCUCCAGAUUGUACCCAGGAAAAUGAUUUUGUAGUGCCCGAACCAUCAUUUUCACAAACUGUUAUUUUGCAAGAAAAUGUUAGUCCAUACUACAAACAAAUGUAUCAGAGAAAGUUUUAUAAUGAGCAAAAUAAAGAAAAUGUACCAGUUCAUCCACAGAAUGUAAAUCAAAAACAGUUACCGGUAUUUAACACUGGACUCACCGAUUUUUAUAAACAAAUUCACCGGGAAACAAUUUCAGCUUUUCCACUAGAGCAGUUUUCCGAUGGUUUGAGGGAAGACAUUACCUACUAUCCGGAAGAGGGACAAAAUGUGAUGUACAGACCGAAUCCUGCGAUGAACAAAGGCACCGCAGUUUUCAGUACAGGAUAUUUCAGGAAAGGGGUCAUAGACUCAAUUUCAGCGUCUACUGCUGGAAAAGUGUAUAAAGUGACAGAUCAAAUUACAGGAUACAAAUUUGAUUUAAAUCGUCAUCAAAUUAAAAAGAUGUGAUCAGGAGAAAAUAAAUAGCAUGUGAAGAGUCAAA